CAGUUGAGCGCUGAAGGUUGGUACUUGUACCAACUGGAUGAGCAGCGAACGGGUGAGUAACGCGUGGGGAAUCUGCCUUUGAGCGGGGGACAACAUUUGGAAACGAAUGCUAAUACCGCAUAAAAACUUUAAACACAAGUUUUAAGUUUGAAAGAUGCAAUUGCAUCACUCAAAGAUGAUCCCGCGUUGUAUUAGCUAGUUGGUGAGGUAAAGGCUCACCAAGGCGAUGAUACAUAGCCGACCUGAGAGGGUGAUCGGCCACAUUGGGACUGAGACACGGCCCAAACUCCUACGGGAGGCAGCAGUAGGGAAUCUUCGGCAAUGGACGAAAGUCUGACCGAGCAACGCCGCGUGAGUGAAGAAGGUUUUCGGAUCGUAAAACUCUGUUGGUAGAGAAGAACGUUGGUGAGAGUGGAAAGCUCAUCAAGUGACGGUAACUACCCAGAAAGGGACGGCUAACUACGUGCCAGCAGCCGCGGUAAUACGUAGGUCCCGAGCGUUGUCCGGAUUUAUUGGGCGUAAAGCGAGCGCAGGUGGUUUAUUAAGUCUGGUGUAAAAGGCAGUGGCUCAACCAUUGUAUGCAUUGGAAACUGGUAGACUUGAGUGCAGGAGAGGAGAGUGGAAUU
rnacentral:rRNA from 1 species